rnacentral:hammerhead_ribozyme from 1 species
AUCCAGCUGACGAGUCCCAAAUAGGACACAACGCGCGUUCUGGAU